rnacentral:rRNA from 1 species
GUGGGGUGAUGGCCUACCAAGGCGACGACGGGUAGCCGGCCUGAGAGGGUGAUCGGCCACAUUGGGACUGAGAUACGGCCCAGACUCCUACGGGAGGCAGCAGUGGGGAAUAUUGCACAAUGGGCGGAAGCCUGAUGCAGCGACGCCGCGUGAGGGAUGACGGCCUUCGGGUUGUAAACCUCUUUCAGCAGGGACGAAGCGUAAGUGACGGUAUCUGCAGAAGAAGCACCGGCUAACUACGUGCCAGCAGCCGCGGUAAUACGUAGGGUGCGAGCGUUGUCCGGAAUUACUGGGCGUAAAGAGCUCGUAGGCGGUUUGUCACGUCGUCUGUGAAAUCCUAGGGCUUAACCCUGGACGUGCAGGCGAUACGGGCUGACUUGAGUACUACAGGGGAGACUGGAAUUUCUGGUGUAGCGGUGGAAUGCACAGAUAUCAGGAAGAACACCGAUGGCGAAGGCAGGUCUCUGGGUAGUAACUGACGCUGAGGAGCGAAAGCAUGGGUAGCGAACAGGAUUAGAUACCCUGGUAGUCCAUGCCGUAAACGGUGGGCGCUAGGUGUGGGGUUCCUUCCACGGGCUCCGCGCCGUAGCUAACGCAUUAAGCG